rnacentral:rRNA from 1 species
UACAGAGGUCUCAAGCGUUGUUCGGUGUCACUGGGCUUAAAGGGCGCGUAGGUGGCUGUGCAAGUAAGGUGUGAAAGCCCUCGGCUUACCCGGGGAAUUGCGCCUUAAACUGCAUGGCUUGAGGGAUUCAGGGGAAUGGGGAACUCCAGGUGUAGCGGUGAAAUGCGCAGAUAUCUGGGGGAAGGCCGGCGGCGAAGGCGCCAUUCUGGGAAUUUCCUGACACUGAGGCGCGAAAGCGUGGGGAGCAAACAGG